CCUACGGGGGACAGCAGUGAGGAAUAUUGGUCAAUGGGCGGACGCCUGAACCAGCCAAGUCGCGUGAGGGAAGACGGACCUAUGGAUUGUAAACCUCUUUAGGCGUGGAGCAAUGCCGGGCACGCGUGCCCGGAGGGAGAGUACCCGCAGAAUAAGCAUCGGCUAACUCCGUGCCAGCAGCCGCGGUAAUACGGAGGAUGCGAGCGUUAUCCGGAUUUAUUGGGUUUAAAGGGUGCGUAGGCGGAUUUUUAAGUCAGCGGUAAAAUGUCCGGGCUCAACCCGGGCCGGCCGUUGAAACUGGGGAUCUUGAGUGGGCGAGAAGUAUGCGGAAUGCGUGGGGAGCAAACAGGAUUAGAUACCCGAGUAGUC
rnacentral:rRNA from 1 species